AUAUUAAUCUCCGAUUCGCUGAAGCCUAAGGUAAUAUCCAUGGUUUGGCGAACGAUAGGGCUGAUUGGGAAACUGGUCUGCCUCCCGGUUUUGGAAAGGAGAACCUCCA
rnacentral:ncRNA from 1 species